GUAUGUGAGGGUGGUCUGACUGUGACAUGCUGAUCUUAAUGGCUAGGCAGGUGUCCCCUUCCUCCCUCACUACUCCAGGUGCAUCCCACCCUAAGCUGUGCUCUCAGACAAAGGGAAUGACCAUUCCCAAUAGAGGAGGACCAUUCUUUUGUCAAGGGUAUAGGAGUAGCUGUGCUCCCCUGCUUGAACCUCCAAACAAGCUCUCAAGGGUUGGUGGAGUGGCUCAAGUAAUAGAGAGCCUGUCUAGCAAGGCAGAGGCCCUGAGUU
rnacentral:snRNA from 1 species